UCCAGACUCCUACGGGAGGCAGCAGUGGGGGAUAUUGCACAAUGGGGGGAACCCUGAUGCAGCGACGCCGCGUGGGUGAAGGAGCGUUUCGGCGCGUAAAGCCCUAUCGGCAGGGAAGAAGGAGGACGGUACCUGACUAAGAAGCCCCGGCUAACUACGUGCCAGCAGCCGCGGUAAUACGUAGGGGGCAAGCGUUAUCCGGAUUUACUGGGUGUAAAGGGGGCGCAGACGGCGGCGCAAGCCAGGAGUGAAAGCCCGGGGCCCAACCCCGGGACUGCUCUUGGAACUGCGCGGCUGGAGUGCAGGAGGGGCAGGCGGAACUCCUGGUGUAGCGGUGAAAUGCGUAGAUAUCAGGAGGAACACCGGUGGCGAAGGCGGCCUGCUGGACUGCGACUGACGUUGAGGCCCGAAAGCGUGGGGAGCAAACAGGAUUAGAUACCCUGGUAA
rnacentral:rRNA from 1 species